UGACGAGCGGCGGACGGGUGAGUAAUGCUUGGGAACAUGCCUUGAGGUGGGGGACAACAGUUGGAAACGACUGCUAAUACCGCAUAAUGUCUACGGACCAAAGGGGGCUUCGGCUCUCGCCUUUAGAUUGGCCCAAGUGGGAUUAGCUAGUUGGUGAGGUAAUGGCUCACCAAGGCGACGAUCCCUAGCUGGUUUGAGAGGAUGAUCAGCCACACUGGGACUGAGACACGGCCCAGACUCCUACGGGAGGCAGCAGUGGGGAAUAUUGCACAAUGGGCGCAAGCCUGAUGCAGCCAUGCCGCGUGUGUGAAGAAGGCCUUCGGGUUGUAAAGCACUUUCAGUCAGGAGGAAAGGUUAGUAGUUAAUACCUGCUAGCUGUGACGUUACUGACAGAAGAAGCACCGGCUAACUCCGUGCCAGCAGCCGCGGUAAUACGGAGGGUGCGAGCGUUAAUCGGAAUUACUGGGCGUAAAGCGUACGCAGGCGGUUUGUUAAGCGAGAUGUGAAAGCCCCGGGCUCAACCUGGGAACUGCAUUUCGAACUGGCAAACUAGAGUGUGAUAGAGGGUGGUAGAAUUUCAGGUGUAGCGGUGAAAUGCGUAGAGAUCUGAAGGAAUACCGAUGGCGAAGGCAGCCACCUGGGUCA
rnacentral:rRNA from 1 species